GGUAAACGCUGGCGAUGUGCCUAAGACAUGCAAGUCGAACGAGAAAGAGGGGGCAACCCCUUGAGUAAAGUGGCGACCGGGUGAGUAACACGUGACUAACCUACCUUUCAGUGGGGAAUAACCUCGGGAAACCGGGGCUAAUACCGCAUAACGUCCUGUGGUUGAAAUACCAUUGGACCAAAGGAGCAAUUCGCUGAUAGAGGGGGUCGCGGCAGAUUAGCUAGUUGGCGGGGUAAUGGCCCACCAAGGCAGUGAUCUGUAGCCGGCCUGAGAGGGCGCACGGCCACACUGGAACUGAAACACGGUCCAGACUCCUACGGGAGGCAGCAGUGGGGAAUUUUGCGCAAUGGGGGAAACCCUGACGCAGCAACGCCGCGUGGAGGAUGAAGGUCUUUGGAUUGUAAACUCCUUUCGAUCGGGACGAUUAUGACGGUACCGGAAGAAGAAGCACCGGCUAACUCUGUGCCAGCAGCCGCCGUAA
rnacentral:rRNA from 1 species